GAUCCAGAAUAAUCCUAGCAUGCUCUCAUAAUCUAUUAGUGACACCUAGCAAUAUAUAGUGGCAAUCCAGUAGAACUGAAAUAAACCUCUAGGUAUAGUUAACGUGUGCUUCAGUCUCUCUAUCAUGAGUUUCGAUUAGAUGGCAAGUCUGUUAGAAAUUAUGUUCUAAAAUCAAUCGUCAGUCUGUUGACAGUUGAGCUUAUUAUUAUUCUUGUAUAUGAAUUAUUAAAUUAAUAAAUAUUAUUUGAUUUUUUUCAUCAUUAUGUACAUCUUAUUUUGAACUCCUAUUAUGUGAUGAAGUCUUUAGGACUAUUUGAUUCGAUAGAGGAGGAUAUAUCAUUUAGUCUUUAAAUCUUAAGUUUACGAUCAAAUAAUAUACUAUUAUUAGGAUGAUAGCUAUAUCAAGUAUAGGUCAUUGUGUGCCAUGUACGUUGGUUGUGCUCUUAACUAAAGAGUGUGGAGAUACUAGCAUGGCAUGCAAGUGAGAUAUAGGAGUACAUCUCACUGAAUGUGAUCAAUUGCUAAGCACUCUACUAUCAAGAGUAGCUCGCAAAGGAUAUGGAUAUGUGUCCCUCUG
rnacentral:lncRNA from 1 species